UACGUAGGGUGCGAGCGUUGUCCGGAAUUAUUGGGCGUAAAGGGCUCGUAGGCGGUUUGUCGCGUCGGGAGUGAAAACCUUGGGCUUAACUCAGGGCUUGCUUUCGAUACGGGCAGACUAGAGGUAUGCAGGGGAGAACGGAAUUCCUGGUGUAGCGGUGAAAUGCGCAGAUAUCAGGAGGAACACCGGUGGCGAAGGCGGUUCUCUGGGCAUGAUCUGACGCUGAGGAGCGAAAAGUGUGGGGAGCGAACAGG
rnacentral:rRNA from 1 species